rnacentral:rRNA from 1 species
GACAGAGGAGCCAAGCGUUGUCCGGAUUGACUGGGCGUAAAGCGCACGCAGGCGGGUGCGCGCGUGGGGUGUGAAACCUGGCCGCUUAACGGCCAGCGGCCAUCCCAUACGGCGCGCCUGGAGCCUUGCGAGAGGCGGUGGAAUUGCCGGUGUAGUGGUGAAAUGCGUAGAUAUCGGGAGGAACACCAGUGGCGAAGGGCGACUUCCUGGCCUGUUCUUGACGCUGAGGCGCGAAAGCUAGGGUAG